GGCCCGGUGGCGGAUGGUCGCCACCCGCUUAUAGUUGUCACUGAUUGGGAUGAUUAUCGCGGCGGAGCUCGUUCGAAUCGAGCCCGGGCCG